rnacentral:tRNA from 1 species
UAGAAAAAUAAGCUAAUUUUAAGCUUUUGGACUCAUAAUCCAAAUAUAGAUAAUCUUUUUUCU